CUUACCUUAGUUUAAUUAGAAUGAGGGUUUUGGGGAUCUUUGGUCUCUUUGGAGAGGUUUGA
rnacentral:tRNA from 2 species